rnacentral:lncRNA from 1 species
UAUAAUAUUAAAAGGCAAAGUGACAGAUUAGAAAGUUUGUCUAGUCUCGACAGAUUUAAUAAACUUUAUAAAUGGUGUUGCAAAAAAUGUUUUGUUUUAGUUUAGCAAACUAAACAUUCCUUAAACUUACAAAAACACUUUCUUAUCUUACUGUUCUUAUAUUCAUACAUGUGUGAUCAAUAUAUUGUUUGAUUCAAGACAGACAUACUUUAUUCUCAGUUGGAAUAAAACAAAAUAUUUCAGUUAAUAUUUUCAAAAAACUCUUACAGUUUUUCUUCUUCUCUACUUCAAAGUUUUCAUUAAAUUUAAUCAACAGAUGGUAAAUUUCACUUUAAAAAAAUACUAUUUGAAGGAAGGUGGGUUUAGGUUAUUCAUGAACUGAAGUGCAUCAUUUCGUUUACAGUUCAAACUCAAUCUCAAGGAGGCCAUGGAUGUAGUAGAGUCACCCCUUUGGCAGAACGGAGCAAUGGGCUGAUGAAUGAAGAGGAAGAGGGAUGGAUGAAAUUACGGAAUGGGAAAGUCUUGCAAGGGUCCGUCUAUCCAUCCGU